GAUGAACGCUGGCGGCGUGCUUAACACAUGCAAGUCGAACGAUGAAGCCCAGCUUGCUGGGUGGAUUAGUGGCGAACGGGUGAGUAACACGUGAGUAACCUGCCCUUAACUCUGGGAUAAGCCUGGGAAACUGGGUCUAAUACCGGAUAGGAGCGUCCACCGCAUGGUGGGUGUUGGAAAGAUUUAUCGGUUUUGGAUGGACUCGCGGCCUAUCAGCUUGUUUGUGAGGUAAUGGCUCACCAAGGCGACGACGGGUAGCCGGCCUGGGAGGGUGACCGGCCCCACUGGGACUGAGACACGGCCCCGACUCCUACGGGAGGCAGCAGUGGGGAAUAUUGCACAAUGGGCGCGAGCCUGAUGCGGCGGCGGCGCGUUAGGGAUGGCGGCCUUUGGGUUGUAAACCUCUUUCAGUAGGGAAGAAGCGAAAGUGACGGUACCUGCAGAAGAAGCACCGGCUAACUACGUG
rnacentral:rRNA from 1 species